CCUACGGGGGGCAGCAGUGGGGGAUAUUGCACAAUGGGGGGAACCCUGAUGUAGCGACGCCGCGUGGGUGAAGAAGCGCCUCGGCGCGUAAAGCUCUGUCAGCAGGGAAGAAAAUGACGGUACCUGAAGAAGAAGCCCCGGCUAACUACGUGCCAGCAGCCGCGGUAAUACGUAGGGGGCAAGCGUUAUCCGGAUUUACUGGGUGGAAAGGGGGCGCAGACGGCGAUGCAAGCCAGGAGUGAAAGCCCGGGGCCCAACCCCGGGACUGCUCUUGGAACUGCGUGGCUGGAGUGCAGGAGGGGCAGGCGGAAUUCCUGGUGUAGCGGUGAAAUGCGUAGAUAUCAGGAGGAACACCGGUGGCGAAGGCGGCCUGCUGGACUGCAACUGACGUUGAGGCCCGAAAGCGUGGGGAGCAAACAGGAUUAGAUACCCGAGUAGUC
rnacentral:rRNA from 1 species